rnacentral:rRNA from 1 species
GAUGAACGCUGGCGGCGUGCCUAAUACAUGCAAGUCGAGCGAACGGACGAGAAGCUUGCUUCUCUGAUGUUAGCGGCGGACGGGUGAGUAACACGUGGAUAACCUACCUAUAAGACUGGGAUAACUUCGGGAAACCGGAGCUAAUACCGGAUAAUAUUUUGAACCGCAUGGUUCAAAAGUGAAAGACGGUCUUGCUGUCACUUAUAGAUGGAUCCGCGCUGCAUUAGCUAGUUGGUAAGGUAACGGCUUACCAAGGCAACGAUGCAUAGCCGACCUGAGAGGGUGAUCGGCCACACUGAAACUGAGACACGGUCCAGACUCCUACGGGAGGCAGCAGUAGGGAAUCUUCCGCAAUGGGCGAAAGCCUGACGGAAGCACGCCGCGUGAGUGAUGAAGGUCUUCGGAUCGUNAAACUCUGUUAUUAGGGAAGAACAUAUGUGUAAGUAACUGUGCACAUCUUGACGGUACCUAAUCAGAAAGCCACGGCUAACUACGUGCCAGCAGCCGCGGUAAUACGUAGGUGGGCAGCGUUAUCCGGAAUUAUUGGGCGUAAAGCGCGCGUAGCGGUUUUUUAGUCUGAUGUGAAAGCCCACGGCUCAACCGUGGAGGGUCAUUGGAAACUGGAAAACUUGAGUGCAGAAGAGGAAAGUGGAAUUCCAUGUGUAGCGGUGAAAUGCGCAGAGAUAUGGAGGAACACCAGUGGCGAAGGCGACUUUCUGGUCUGUAACUGACGCUGAUGUGCGAAAGCGUGGGGAUCAAACAGGAUUAGAUACCCUGGUAGUCCACGCCGUAAACGAUGAGUGCUAAGUGUUAGGGGGUUUCCGCCCUUUAGUGCUGCAGCUAACGCAUUAAGCACUCCGCCUGGGGAGUACGACCGCAAGGUUGAAACUCAAAGGAAUUGACGGGGACCCGCACAAGCGGUGGAGCAUGUGGUUUAAUUCGAAGCAACGCGAAGAACCUUACCAAAUCUUGACAUCCUUUGACAACUCUAGAGAUAGAGCUUUCCCCUUCGGGGGACAAAGUGACAGGUGGUGCAUGGUUGUCGUCAGCUCGUGUCGUGAGAUGUUGGGUUAAGUCCCGCAACGAGCGCAACCCUUAAGCUUAGUUGCCAUCAUUAAGUUGGGCACUCUAAGUUGACUGCCGGUGACAAACCGGAGGAAGGUGGGGAUGACGUCAAAUCAUCAUGCCCCUUAUGAUUUGGGCUACACACGUGCUACAAUGGACAAUACAAAGGGCAGCGAAACCGUGAGGUCAAGCAAAUCCCAUAAAGUUGUUCUCAGUUCGGAUUGUAGUCUGCAACUCGACUACAUGAAGCUGGAAUCGCUAGUAAUCGUAGAUCAGCAUGCUACGGUGAAUACGUUCCCGGGUCU